rnacentral:rRNA from 1 species
CCAGAGGUUACUGCUAUCGAGGUUCGACUAAGCCAUGCGAGUCGAAUGUAGCAAUACAUGGCGAACUGCUCAGUAACACGUGGACAACCUGCCCUUAGGUUGGGUAUAAACCCGGGAAACUGGGUAUAAUACCCGAUAGGUCUCGAUUGCUGGAAUGCAUCGAGAUUUAAAGCUCCGGCGCCUAAGGAUGGGUCUGCGGCCUAUCAGGUAGUAGUGGGUGUAGCGUACCUACUAGCCUACGACGGGUACGGGUUGUGAGAGCAAGAGCCCGGAGAUGGAUUCUGAGACACGAAUCCAGGCCCUACGGGGUGCAGCAGGCGCGAAAACUUUACAAUGCUGGCAACAGCGAUAAGGGAACCUCGAGUGCCAGGUUACAAAUCUGGCUGUCGAGAUGCCUAAAAAGCAUUUCAUAGCAAGGGCCGGGCAAGACCGGUGCCAGCCGCCGCGGUAACACCGGCGGCUCGAGUGGUAACCGUUAUUAUUGGGUCUAAAGGGUCUGUAGCUGGCCGGAUAAGUCUCUUGAGAAAUCUGGCAGCUUAACUGUCAGGCUUUCAGGAGAUGCUGUCUGGCUCGAGGCCGGGAGAGGUGAGAGGUACUUCAGGGGUAGGGGUGAAAUCUUGUAAUCCUUGAAGGACCACCAGUGGCGAAGGCGUCUCACCAGAACGGACCUGACGGCAAGGGACGAAAGCUAGGGGCACGAACCGGAUUAGAUACCCGGGUAGUCCUAGCCGUAAACGAUACUCGCUAGGUGUCGGCCACGGUGCGACCGUUGUCGGUGCCGUAGGGAAGCCGUGAAGCGAGCCACCUGGGAAGUACGGCCGCAAGGCUGAAACUUAAAGGAAUUGGC